UACGUAGGGGCUAGCGUUGUCCGGAUUUAUUGGGCGUAAAGAGCGUGUAGGCGGCCAGGUAGGUCUGCUGUGAAAACUCGAGGCUCAACCUCGAGACGUCGGCGGAAACCAUCUGGCUAGAGUCCGGAAGAGGAGAGUGGAAUUCCUGGUGUAGCGGUGAAAUGCGCAGAUAUCAGGAAGAACACCCGUGGCGAAGGCGGCUCUCUGGGACGGUACUGACGCUGAGACGCGAAAGCGUGGGGAGCGAACAGG
rnacentral:rRNA from 1 species